GAUGAACGCUGGCGGCGUGCCUAAUACAUGCAAGUCGAGCGAAGCGGGGACGGGUGAGUAACACGUGGAUAACCUCCUAUAAGACUGGGAUAACUUCGGGAAACCGGCGCUAAACCGGAAACUUAUAGAAGGAUCUGUGCUGCAUGAGCUAGUGUGUAGGGAAACGGCUUACCAAGGCAACGAUGCAUAGCCGACCGGAGAGGGUGAUCGGCCACACUGGAACUGAGCCACGGUCCAGACUCCUACGGGAGGCAGCAGUAGGGAAUCUUCCGCAAUGGGCGAAAGCCUGACGGAGCAACGCCGCGUGAGUGAUGAAGGCCUUCGGAUCGUAAAACUCUGUUAUUAGGGAAGCGGUACCUAAUCAGAAAGCCACGGCUAACUACGUGCCAGCAGCCGCGGUAAUUC
rnacentral:rRNA from 1 species